ACAGCAGGGUGUGACGUGGUCCAGUAGAUGUUAGUAGAGGCAGUAUCAGCAGGGUGUGACGUGGUCCAGUAGACGGUAGUAGAGGCAGUAACAGCAGGGUGUAACGUGGUCCAGUAGACGGUAGUAGAGGCAGUAACAGCAGGGUGUGACGUGGUCCAGUAGACGGUAGUAGAGGCAGUAACAGCAGGGUGUAACGUGGUCCAGUAGAUGGUAGUAGAAGCAGUAACAGCAGGGUGUGACGUGGUCCAGUAGACGGUAUUAGAGGCAGUAACAGCAGGGUGUGAUGUGGUCCAGUAGACGGUAGUAGAGGCAGUGACAGCACGGUGUGACGUGGUCCAGUAGACGGUAGUAGAGGCAGUAACAGCAGGGUGUGACGUGGUCCAGUAGACGGUAGUAGAGGCAGUAACAGCAGGGUGUGAUGUGGUCCAGUAGACGGUACCAGAGGCAGUAACAGCAGGGUGUGACGUGGUCCAGUAGACGGUACCAGAGGCAGUAACAGCAGGGUGUGAUGUGGUCCAGUAGACGGUAGUAGAGUCAGUAACAGCAGGGUGUGAUGUGGUCCAGUAGACGGUACCAGAGGCAGUAACAGCAGGGUGUGACGUGGUCCAGUAGACGGUAGUAGAGGCAGUAACAGCAGGGUGUGAAGUGGUCCAGUAGACGGUAGUAGAGGCAGUAACAGCGGGGUGUGACGUGGUCCAGUAGACGGUAGUAGAGGCAGUAACAGCAGGGUGUGAGUGGUCCAGUAGACGGUAGUAGAGGCAGUAACGGCAGGGUGUGACGUAGUCCAGUUGACGGUAGUAGAGGCAGUAACAGCAGGGUGUAACGUGGUCCAGUAGACGGUAGUAGAGGCAGUAACAGCAGGGUGUGACGUGGUCCAGUAGACGGUAGUAGAGGCAGUAACAGCAGGGUGUGAUGUGGUCCAGUAGACGGUACCAGAGGCAGUAACAGCAGGGUGUGACGUGGUCCAGUAGACGGUAGUAGAGGCAGUAACAGCAGGGUGUGACGUGGUCCAGUAGACGGUAUUAGAGGCAGUAACAGCAGGGUGUGACGUGGUCCAGUAGACGGUAGUAGAGGGAGUAACAGCAGGGUGUGACGUAUCCAGUAGACGGUAGUAGAGGCAGUAACGGCAGGGUGUGACGUAGUCCAGUAGACGGUAGUAGAGGCAGUAACAGCAGGGUGUAACGUGGUCCAGUAGACGGUAGUAGAGGCAGUAACAGCAGGGUGUAACGUGGUCCAGUAGACGGUAGUAGAGGCAGUAACAGCAGGGUGUGAGGUGGUCCAGUAGACGGUAGUAGAGGCAGUAACAGCAGGGUGUGACGUGGUCCAGUAGACGGUAGUAGAGGCAGUAACAGCAGGGUGUGAUGUGGUCCAGUAGACGGUAGUAGAGGCAGUAACAGCUGGGUGUAAUGUGGUCCAGUAGACGGUAGUAGAGGCAGUAACAGCAGGGUGUGACGUGGUCCAUUAGACGGUAGUAGAGGCAGUGACAGCAGGGUGUAACUUGGUCCAGUAGACGGUAGUAGAGGCAGUAACAGCAGGGUGUGACGUGGUCCAGUAGACGGUAGUAGAGGCAGUAACAGCAGGGUGUGAUGUGGUCCAGUAGACGGUAGUAGAGGCAGUGACAGCACGGUGUGACGUGGUCCAGUAGACGGUAGUAGAGGCAGUAACAGCAGGGUGUGACGUGGUCCAGUAGACGGUAGUAGAGGCAGUAACAGCAGGGUGUACCGUGGUCCAGUAGACGGUAGUAGAGGCAGUAACAGCAGGGUGUGACGUGGUCCAGUAGACGGUAGUAGAGGCAGUAACAGCAGGGUGUACCGUGGUCCAGUAGACGGUAGUAGAGGCAGUAACAGCAGGGUGUGACGUGGUCCAGUAGACGGUAGUAGAGGCAGUGACAGCAGG
rnacentral:lncRNA from 1 species